rnacentral:rRNA from 1 species
GGGGCGUGAGAGCGCGAACCCCCACAAUGGAACUGAGACACGGUCCAUACUCCUACGGGAGGCAGCAGUGAGGAAUAUUGCGCAAUGGGGGAAACCCUGACGCAGCAACGCCGCGUGAACGAUGAAGGCCUUCGGGUCGUACAGUUCUUUUCUAAGGGAAGAUAGUGACGGUACCUUAGGAAUAAGUCCCGGCUAACUACGUGCCAGCAGCCGCGGUAAAACGUAGGGGGCGAGCGUUAUCCGGAUUUAUUGGGCGUAUAGCGCACGUAGGUGGCGCUGUAAGUUAGACGUGAAAGCUCUCGGCUCAACUGAGAGAGGUCGUUUAAAACUGCAGUGCUUGAGGUUAGAAGAGGAGAGCAGAAUUCCCGGUGUAGUGGUGGAAUGCGUAGAUAUCGGGAGGAAUACCAGUGGCGAAGGCGGCUCUCUAGUCUACACCUGACACUGAGGUGCGAAAGCGUGGGUAGCGAACGGGAUUAGAUACCCCGGUAGUCCACGCUGUAAACGAUGGAUACUAGGUGUAGGGGGUCAUUUAACCCCUCUGUGCCGAAGCAAACGCGUUAAGUAUCCCGCCUGGGGACUACGGCCGCAAGGUUAAAACUCAAAGGAAUUGACGGGGGCCCGCACAAGCAGCGGAGCGUGUGGUUUAAUUCGAUGAUACGCGAAGAACCUUACCUGGGCUGAACUACGUGGUAGUAGUGAAGCGAAAGCGGAUCGACCCUUCGGGGAGCCUCGAUAGGUGCUGCAUGGCUGUCGUCAGCUCGUGUCGUGAGAUGUUGGGUUAAGUCCCGCAACGAGCGCAACCCUCGUCGCUAGUUACAAGUGUCUAGCGAGACUGCCGGUAUCAAACCGGAGGAAGGUGGGGAUGACGUCAAGUCAGCAUGGUCUUUAUGUCCAGGGCUACACACACGCUACAAUGGUCGGUACAAUAGGUUGCCACACCGCGAGGUGGAGCUAAUCCUCAAAGCCGAUCUCAGUUCGGAUUGUAGUCUGCAACUCGACUACAUGAAGGCGGAGUUGCUAGUAACCGCGCGUCAGCAUAGUGCGGUGAAUGCGUUCCCGGGCCUUGUACACACCGCCCGUCACAUCAUGGGAGUCGGUAACACCUGAAGUCGGUGACCUAACCGAAAGGGGGGAGCUGCCUAAGGUGG